ensembl:snoRNA SNORA70 Small nucleolar RNA SNORA70
GUGCAAACCUGUUGUGCAACGGCUGCACAUAGCAACCUCUGUAGUAGUGCAUUCAGCCUACUUGUAUGAGUUGCCUCAAGGAACCUUCAGAU